CUGGGUUUGAAAAUGACCCUCUAUCAGUAGGGUAAAAUCCUCCAAUUUUUUUUCAGCAGUGUUAAUGGAUUUGCAAUGAUCCAUACAGAGUCCUUUACCGUCUUUCUUUUUAUUUGUAUUUGUAUUCCUAGCAUUUAGUACCAUGCCUAGUACCUAGCAGGCACUUAAUAAAUGCUUCUUGAUCGACUCCUCUUGUGGCUCACAACAUAAUUUUGCAUGAAGGCUAUUGAAGGCAGACAGACUGUGGCCAUGGAAUAAGUAACAAGUCACAUUUAAGAUAUGGGCACAUACUAGCAAACACAGUCAUUGACUAAAGUCUCAAGUUCCCAGCAGCAGACCAGACCCCUUGAUUUUCCAUUAUUCCCCACAGCACAUGCAGCAGCUCCACUACUUGGCUGAGAUCAAAUAUCCAUGAGAAAAUCAGCUACCAAUCCUCUACUAAAUGUCCAAUGUCAUGAAAUGCCCAAAAUGCAGGCAAAAUAAAGGGCAGCAAGGGAGAACAUUGGGACUAUGGUCAUCUCCUGAGCUCCUGAGAGUAAGCCAAAACAACAGCAUUUAUGCAGGUUGCCAUCUUCAGCUCAAACUGCCUCUUGGAGGGAACUUGGGUGAGUGAAUAGCUGGCUUUCCUUUCCUGAUUUCUGGAGAGAGAUUAAUUCUGGUGGAAGAUUAACAAGUUGUGCCAAGCUGGGCUGAGUUGAGUACCUGAGCAAUAUUUAGUGUGAUAGGCUAAAUUUCUUCUCUGUACCCCCUUUUUGUAUUUCUCAACUUUCACUCUUUCUACCUAUUGGUAAAUAAAAACUAUUGAAAGUCAUU
rnacentral:lncRNA from 1 species